UCCCGCUGCCCCAGGAUACUGGCUCAAACCAACUCUCCAGAUGGUCUCCCUUCAAACACUGUAGAUCAUUCUUCAUUCAGAGAAACGCUUUUUCGCCAUUGUGCCUCUCACAGCAGCGAUUGGCUCCUGAGUGUGGGAAACGCAGAGAAACCCGGACUCACGCUCACUUCCCUGUCCUCUUGGAGCUAUAAGUACAGGAGAUGUUGAUCAGAAACGCAGCAAAUAGCAGAGACCGCGUCUUAGUUCACUACCAGCUUCACGAAUGCGUCGACUUACUUACAAAACCAUAUCAAUUGCAAGACGAGAAAAUAUCUCAGCUAAACUGUUAGAAGCAUCGCUGCAGAGAUUGCACUGGCUAAAUUCAGAAGUUUAGAGGUCACUGCGUUGAAAAGGAAAGAUUACUACCCGAAACGGAAUCGGUAACAAGUCUCGGUUCGUGUUCCCCCACCGAUUGGACACCGGAACAGUCGCAGACCUGCUGUCAACUCGUAACACUGAGAUGCAAAUUAAGAAGAAAAUCCCCAGCCGAUUGAACCGAGGUUCAGAUCUGUAUUUCUCGGCUUGUCAGGCCCGGUCAAGCAAAACUUCUCGGCCCAGCACCGCUGAAACACCUGGACAACAUUUUAUAUGACUCAGGAAGUGAGAGUUGCACGGUAGAGAUACUGAAGGUUUAUUCUCCGGUGUUAGACAGUAUUCCACAAUGGAAGUACCAUUGUUAAUAUCUUCACAUUGAAGCAGUUGGAUGCUUUAUUAGCGUCUAGUCCUCAAUCGAGCGACGUCAUAGUCCACGACCCGUUUUCGACAAUCUUCCCUCAAUAAUCUCUCUGGUAUUGUAAUAGCUGUGGAAUUAUGCAGCAGAAACCCCCUGUUGAAGUGUGACAGGAAACAGAGAGUACUUUAUUCUGAUGAACAGUUUGUGUCUUUUGUAGAGGUCUAGAUUCAUUCACGGAGCAUUUUAUUCGAAUAAAUAUGAAGUAGAGAGUUUCUGGACCCCUGAUGUUUCGCUUCCUCUCAGCGUUAUGAAGGUUCAUUGUAAAGAUUGCAGUUCUACGUGAAGUCGCUGUAAUCAUACCGCUGUGGUAUUGAAAGGUUAAUAAGAAUGUUGUAUUAAGUGCAGAAAAGCGACUUCAGAUUGAAAGAGGUAGAUAGUUUUUAAGGGCUAUUUUUCAUCCUCCUGUAACAUCUCAAUAGGUGACGGUUGUUUGCGGAAUUGUUGAACUACUAGAAGGCGAGGUCCCGCGGAACUGAUGUGCAGUGCCUGAAGCGAGUCGGAGAUGGAAAGUCAACUAACCCUUUUAUUAGUCUGGGAAAGUUUUACACAAUAACACGUCUGUGUAAAUGAUAAAGCUCCUUAUUAUAAAAUAGAUAUAGUAAAACCUAAGACUGCAAAGUAUUAGAACGGGGGUUAUAAAAUUACUUUGUGGAGGUGAUUCUUGCCCUGUAUCAGGGACGAUGUUGUUUCACUGUUUGAAGGCAAACGGUUCUUUUUUGUUUUUUUUUUAAAAAGCUAAUAGUAGGUAUUUGGAGCUCUUAAAGCUUCCAACCUGCUCAACAUUCUGCGAAUGACCUGAAAGGUAUAAAAUUUUAUUGAAAUCUUGUUAAAGUACACUCAACAUGAAAAGGAAUAAAGUUAGGCAUACUAUUUCGGGAUGUGGAUUGUAGAGCAAGAGAACAUAGGUUAAAAACUGAAAUAAAGACUGAUCAGCUCUUGGAUGGGCUUCCGAACAAGGAAUUGGAGAUGAGGGGGCUCAGUGGGAGAAGAAGUGAUAGGGGAAUGUGAAUUACUUAAAUAGUUCUGGAUGGACGAGCUCAGAGCAGCUGCUUCGGUUUUCUCGUCGGUAUCUAUUUUGUGAUGGUGGUUAACUGAAAGGACUUAAAGUCAUAUUUGUUGAGCUAAUGAUGAACGAUCUACAUUCAGUGGCAUUGGGAAAUUGUGAUUUACAGCUCGACACUGCAUUGUUGCUGUAUCCUAGAAAAUGCAUUUCAGACUACAGCAUAUGUAAAUAUGCUGGACAUUAAUACAAACUUCCAAUAAAGUUAUUUUAAGCUAA